CUGCAAGCUGGGGAGGAGGACGGAGUCCAGGCUGCUGAAUCGGCAAUUAGCUCAAUCUCAGACCAUGUCUCCAGAUGGACACUUUGAGGGUUGGUAAUUGUGCUUGUAAGUCAGCCUUCUUUCUCAGAGUAAUACGACGGCCUGACAUGAAUUUCCUUAGACAUCUCAGAGACCAUCAGAUUUUGCCUUUGGCCUGAGAUUGAGUGAACUGAAUGUCUGGACUCAGAAAGUUGCUUGAACAGUCUCUACCCAUUAAAAACACACACAUCACAUACCUCACGUCUACCGCCCCCUCCCUCAGCGAGGACCAUCGAGCACAUGAGUUCCACUUGGACGGAAAAGCAACGCUAGCAUUGCAGCGCCGUGGGUUCAUGGCACAGCCCUGAGGCUGAUUAUGGUGAGUCCCGCAUGUCAUUUGUAAUCCUGCUACUUCAUAGUCACGAGCUGCAGAGCACAGACAACUAGCUUCCUUGUGAUCUAGAGAAUCUAUGUUCUUUCGUACGAGAUGCCAGCCUCUUUCUUUGCGUGCCCUUGUGAGAAAUUGAAAUGUUCUCCAAGUCUGGAGACAGACUUCCGAGUGAACUGCAUCU
rnacentral:lncRNA from 1 species